rnacentral:rRNA from 1 species
CAGUAGCCGCGGUAAUACAGAGGAUGCAAGCGUUAUCCGGAAUGAUUGGGCGUAAAGCGUCUGUAGGUGGCUUUUCAAGUCCGCCGUCAAAUCCCAGGGCUCAACCCUGGACAGGCGGUGGAAACUACCAAGCAGGAGUACGGUAGGGGCAGAGGGAAUUUCCGGUGGAGCGGUGAAAUGCGUUGAGAUCGGAAAGAACACCAACGGCGAAAGUACUCUGCUGGGCCGACACUGACACUGAGAGACGAAAGCUAGGGGAGCAAAUGGGAUUAGAUACCCCCGUAGUCCCUGUCUCUUAUAC